rnacentral:rRNA from 1 species
GAUUAGAGUUUGAUCCUGGCUCAGAUUGAACGCUGGCGGCAUGCUUUACACAUGCAAGUCGAACGGUAACAGGCCUUCGGGUGCUGACGAGUGGCGAACGGGUGAGUAAUGCAUCGGAACAUACCCAGUCGUGGGGGAUAACGUAGCGAAAGUUACGCUAAUACCGCAUACGUCCUGAGGGAGAAAGCGGGGGAUCGCAAGACCUCGCGCGAUUGGAGUGGCCGAUGUCAGAUUAGCUAGUUGGUGGGGUAAAGGCCCACCAAGGCGACGAUCUGUAGCGGGUCUGAGAGGAUGAUCCGCCACACUGGGACUGAGACACGGCCCAGACUCCUACGGGAGGCAGCAGUGGGGAAUUUUGGACAAUGGGGGAAACCCUGAUCCAGCCAUGCCGCGUGCGGGAAGAAGGCCUUCGGGUUGUAAACCGCUUUCAGCCGGAAAGAAAUCGCACGGACCAAUACUCUGUGUGGAUGACGGUACCGGAAGAAGA